rnacentral:rRNA from 1 species
GAUGAACGCUGGCGGCGUGCCUAAUACAUGCAAGUCGAGCGAACAGACAGGAAGCUCUUUCCUCUAACGUUAGCGGCGGACGGGCGGGUAACACGUGCAUAACCUACCUAUAAGACUGGGAUAACUUCGUGAAACCGGAGCUAAUACCACCUCAUAUAUUGAACCGCAUGGUUCAAUAGUUCAAGACGGUUUUCCUGUCACUUUUAGACGGAGUCGCGCCGGAUUAGCUAGUUGGUAAGGUAACGGCUUACCAAGGCGACGAUGCGUAGCCGACCUGAGAGGGUGAUCAGCCACACUGGAACUGAGACACGGUCCAGACUCCUACGGGAGGCAGCAGUAGGGAAUAUUGCACAAUGGGCGAAAGCCUGAUGGAGCAAUGCCGCGUGAGUGAAGAAGGUCUUCGGGUCGUAAAGCUCUGUUGUUGGGGAAGAAAAACUGUGGGUGUAAAUAUGCAUGUCUUGACGGUACCUAAACAGAAAGCAACGGCUAACUACGUG